UCUUGUGUGUCAACACAAACUCGUCUGCCAGCACAGACGCUUCUGCCAGGGAGGAUACUUUCUGUUUGUUUAGGUAAACUACAAUGCGUUCGGGCAACAGCCAUCUUGCCAUCAAAAAGGCAAUCUUCAACAAACUGAUGUUGGUGAACAGACUACAGGGGAAGAGAGGAUCCUGGUGCAGGAGAUGAAGAGGCACUUGGGGAGCCUACAAAGAGCAGCGGGAACUCUGGAGGAACUGUCCCAACACCUGCAAGUUCAGAUGGACUGGAGUUGUCAGAGGGAGGGAGGAAUGGCCUUCUCUGCCACCUGAAGAGAAGAUUGAGUGAACUGACACAAGACCAAGUCAACACCAGCAAAACCUACCACAAUCUGAUUCUGGGAGAAGGGGA